AUAGACAAAAUUGUUGUCAAACGUCGAAGAAAACUUUUUAUUUACUGCAUAUGCUAGUGAUGCCUCUAGUGUCAAAACAUUGCAGUGAUAUAUCCAUAAAUAGGAAGAUAAACCCCAA